rnacentral:lncRNA from 1 species
UGAGAACAUGCAGUGUUUUAUUUUCUGUUCCUGUAUUAGUUUGCUGAGAAUGAUGGUUUCCAGCUUCAUCCAUGUCCCUGCAAAGGACAUGAACUCAUCCUUUUUUAUGGCUGCAUAGUAUUCCAUGGUGUAUCCUUAUGUCUUUUUGACAGCUAAGAAGGACCAGCUCCAGCUCAGUACAUGGAGAACUGGACACACACAGCCGACCAAGCAUGGCUACUUCAGAAUAAAAUUAACACUGAGUUACAAACUGAAGUGGUGUUAUGGGAAGUCAGGGACCCCGAAGAGAGGGACCAGCUGGAGCCACAGCAGAGGAACGUAAAUUGUGAAGAUUUCAUCUUAAUACGGAUAUUUAUCAGUUCUCAAAUAAUACUUUUACAAUUUCUUAUGCCUGUCUUUAAUCUCUUAAUCCUGUUACCUUCGUAAGCUGAGGAUGUGCAUCACCUCAGGACCACUGUUAUAAUUGUGUUAACUGUACAAAUUGAUUGUAAAACGUGUGUUUGAACAAUAUGAAAUCAGUGCACCUUGAAAAAGAACAGAAUAACGGUGAUUUUUAUGGAACAAGGGAAGACAACCAUAAGGUCUGACUGCCUGCAGGGUCGGGCAAAAAGAGCCAUAUUUUUCUUUUUGCAGAGAGCCUAUAAAUGGAUGUGCAAGUAGGAAACAUAUCGCUAAAUUCUUUUCCUAGCAAGGAAUAUUAAUAUUAAUACCCUCGGAAAAGAAUGCAUUCCUGAGGGGAGGUCUAUAAAUGGCCGCUCUGGGAAUGUCUGUCUUGUGCAGUUGAGAUAAGGACUGAGAUACGCCCUGGUCUCCUGCAGAACCCUCAGGCUUACUAGAGUGGGGAAAAACUCUGCUGUAGUAAAUUUUUGGUCAGACCAGUUUUCUGCUCUCAAACCCUGUUUUCUGUUAAGAUGUUUAUCAAGACAAUACGUGCACCACUGAACAUAGACCCUUAUCAGGAGUUUAUGAUUUUUCUCCUGUCCUGUUUCCUCAGGAGCAUGUGAUCUUUGUUCUCCUUUUUGCCCUUUGAAGCAUGUGAUCUUUGUGACCUACUCCCUGUUCUUACACCCCCUCCCCUUUUGAAAUCCUUAAUAAAAACCUGCUGGUUUUGCGGCUCAGGUGGGCAUCACGGUCCUACCAAUAUGUGAUGUCACCCCUGGAGGCCCAGCUGUAAAAUUCCUCUCUUUGUACUCUUUCUCUUUAUUUCUCAGCCAGCCGACACUUAUGGAAAAUAGAACGAACCUACGUGAAAUAUUGGGGGUGGGUUCCCCCGAUAUGUGAUGUCACCCCUGGUGGCCCAGCUGUAAAAUUCCUCUCUUUGUACUGUCUCUCUUUAUUUCUCAGCUGGCCAACACUUAUGGAAAAUAGAAGGAACCUAUGUUGAAAUACUGAGGGUGGGUUCUCCCAAUAAAGUGGUAAUGUUGAAAUCCACAGUUCUAUGGUUAGGGGAAAAGCACAAAGCUUGAUUGCAUUGUCAUUUUAAUCACACUCAUAUUUGUGUAACCAACUUAGAAUAUAACCAAAGUGAGUAUCUGUGGGACGUUGUGAAAGCCCAUUUGCAGGGAGCUUUCACAUCUAACAUCACCUUUG